CUUUACAAUCUUGUCCAUGUACCCAAAUGUUGAGAGAAGUGUAAUUGCGUCGGUCUUGUUUACCGAUCUCACAGACGUCAAUGCACUCACAAGCUAUGAACAGACACAGUUCCUUCAGUGGCUUAAUCUCCAAAACUUCCUCUUCGGCGUUCCAUGCUAGCAUCAACGUCAAGUCAGCCAAUAUGCAUAUUCGUGUCAAAUGUUUCAAAGAAUGGUGUGGUUCUGGAACAUCCACCUAAUGAAAGAGCCAGACGUUUUGAGAUUGAAUUUGUCAGAAAAAAAAAGUUAUUUCCGACAUUGACACGAAAAACUUUCAUGCAUUACACAAGCAGUUGAUACAAAUCCCUGAAAACGGUACACAAAAUGAGGUGGUUUCUUAAUCGAUUGCAAACAUUUUUUUCAAAAAAGUUUCUUUGGAUUUUAUGCGUUUGAGCGAAAUGGGACAAAGGAUAUUUAUUUAAGUGUAAAAUAUCUGAAACACAAGUGGGUUCAUAAAAGGAUGACUAGAAAUAAGGAAACAUACCACUGUAA
rnacentral:lncRNA from 1 species